rnacentral:ncRNA from 1 species
GUAAAUUCAUUGAAGAGGAGAGUAGUUUACUAGAUUUCUAAAGCGAGUGGGGGAUGGUGUAAGCCCCAUAGAAUAUAGUAAAUGAAGAGAGCCUUGGAGAAACACCCGAAAAAGUAGGGCAGUCGUUUGCUGCGUUAAAGCUUGGAGUGGACUACAUAUGUAGUCAAAUGGAGUGGUACCGCGGAAUUAACCCGUCUCUAUG